CAGGGUUUCUAGACUCCUUUUCCCAUCUUCUGCAUCCCUAAAUGAGGCUGCCAGCCGUCUAUAACAUGAUUGGCCAGAAAAGUCUCCCUUUCAUAUGUCUGAAAUCUCCACACUAGAGUCAAUACCUUAGGAAAUUCCUAGGGAGGGUGUAAGCUUUUUCUUUCUAGUGUUACAGUCUUUAAUAUAACUGUCAGGGAAAUAGACAACAUAACAGCAGCUUUGAGAGACUCCAAAGAGGAGUAAAUGCUUCUAGGGACUACAAAAGGGUAGAUUGGGAAAAUUUACACUAAUUGAGCAUCUCCUGUGCACCUGCUGUCAUGCUGUGGCUUCCAACAACAAGCAAAUUAACAUUCACUGAGUUCUCAAAGCAAGUUGCCAUUUCCUUUGUGUUAAAG
rnacentral:lncRNA from 1 species